AUUGUUAACCAAAGACUUCAGCUUCC
rnacentral:piRNA from 1 species